rnacentral:misc_RNA from 1 species
AACGCACAUUGCGCCCCUUGGUAUUCCAUGGGGCAUGCCUGUUCGAGCGUCAUUUGUACCUUCAAGCUCUGCUUGGUGUUGGGUGUUUGUCUCGCCUUGCGCGUAGACUCGCCUUAAAACAAUUGGCAGCCGGCGUAUUGAUUUCGGAGCGCAGUACAUCUCGCGCUUUGCACUCAUAACGACGACGUCCAAAAGUACUUUUUACACUCUUGACCUCGGAUCAGGUAGGGAUACCCGCUGAACUUAA